GGCAAGUUGGCCGAGUGGUCUAAGGCGCUAGGUUUAGGCCCUAGUAUCUUCGGAUGCGUGGGUUCGAAUCCCACACUUGUCA